UUUCUGCCUCUUCCACCCUUGUCAGUGUUGUCCUUGUUGUGGGGUUCUUUUUAUCCAGUUUCCAUUUCUCUCUCAGGGGUAAUUGUUUCACAGGUGGUUGUAGAUUUGUUAUGUCCUUGGGGGGAGGUGAGUUCAGAGUCUGCCUGUGCCACCAACUUCCCAGCAAUCUCCUUGUAAUGAAUCUUUCAGUGAAGCUGCUUUGGAGUCUUGAAGGCUUUUGGAGGCUUCUGCACGCAAGUUAAAAUAGACAUCUACAGCUUCUGGGACCAGAGUUCUUAGAAAAUAAGCAGGCAUGCCAGGAGGCGCGUGCUCAUUUCUGUGGAACUUGGAGACCCCAUUUAACAGGCACAGAUGCAAACCCACCGUGUCCCACUCACUCACUCUGCUGUGUUCCUCUCCUCGCUGGGCUGCCCUUCAAUGAACUAUGCAGAGAAAUGGCCCUGAUGGGAUCACUGAGAAUAUGGUGAGAAUUCCUAAAGGACGGCAACGGCCAGACCCAGAGGAUGAGCCCGUUUUAAUUUGUUUUGUGAAACUGUGUUUCCUAGAUGAUCUCAUGGUGGUUUCUAAGACACUUUUUCUCUCUGUGAGUUUGAUCUCCUCUUUGACUACUGAUCUUGUGACAUAGACCAUCUUCCAAUUUUCUGCAGUUAUGAAGUUAGAAAUUUCUGGGAUUCAAUCCCCUGAAAUGAAACAUUUCGUAAAGGCCAUAAGCGCCUCUCCCGGGAGUGGAGCCUGUCAAUGGAUGGAGCCUUCUGGUGCGGACAUAGCCGAGCCUCUCCAAAGUCCCUCCUUCUCCAAAGUGAAUUUAUUUAAGUUGCCUCUGUUUUUAUGAAGCACAUUUUUAAAGACAUUGGAGCAAAGAAACUUGAAGCAGUUGACAGCUCUGUUCUCUUAUCAAGUCAAUUUCCCUGCCUUUGAGUUGCUAAAAAUCCAAUCUUUUUAUCAAGCUCUUUUCCCUCUUUGUGAGUGUGCGAUGAGGAGAGGCCUCUCUCGCAAGUGCAGGAUUUGAUGGGCCUGGCCACGUUUACCCCUGGGAGAGGGGUCCUGGAGUUGUGCUGAGGAUUUUUCAGAAAAUAGCUUUCCUGGGCUGUUCACCUGUGAAGGGGCUGAGAGAUCCACAGAGCUAGCUUGGGAGACAGCGUCCCCUGUGCCCUCCAACUGAAGAAAUUUCAGUGAGCCCAGUCUAGCAUGGACAUGUGACAUAGAUCCAACCCAAGAUGAGGCCGUCCCUGGGCAGCCUGACAGGACUUUGGAAGGCAGCACCCCCACGCCUGGACGUGAGUUGCGUGCUGACGUGGGAUGGGAUAUAGCUGACUCCAAACUGCAAUCCUGGUGCUUGGCGCAAACUGGGCAAAGCUUCCACGUGCCCCUGAGCGUCAGCCCGUGAGAUUGCCAAUAGCAGGGCGAGGCCAGAGUUACCGCACAUCACUGACACCGUCCUCCCAAAUUCAGUGCUCCACCUCUGCUGAGCUUGUUGGGGUGCAAACAAGGGUGUGCUUCUGGAGUUUGCUUUAUACAGUGCAACCGAUUUUUCAAAUGAGGAUAUAUCAGCUAGUCUUAGGACAUUCUGAAGUCAGAGGACAUGUGUGUGUUGGUGAGGAGGAAGUGGAGGUAAAUUUCAGAUUGUUAACCCAGAGAGAGGUUGGUUACACUUCAGCUGACCUGUGCCCCAGAUUGUCCCCGCUUUGGCCAGUCGUCAGCCCAUCCACACUUGCACUCUGUCCUCCCUCCCCCUGUACACCUGACCAUACCCAGAGCUGCUCUGCUGGUGGCUGCUGACCGCUGUGUGUCUGUGGUGGCCAGGGCGAUGCAUGCAGCCGCCAUCUUGUUGGCCCUCCCACGACGCCCUGGGAGCUGGGAUGGCUCUCACUUUUUGGAUGAAGACGUGGAAGCUCAGGGAGGUUGAGGACUCCGCCACAUCACACAGCUCGUGAAUGGCACAGGUUUCCUCAUCAGUCAUCAAUUCAACGUGAUACAAAUAGGGCCUGAGACUGGGUGUUGGGAAAGCUUGCCUUUGCCACAUCAGUCACCGCAGGGUCUGAUGCCAGAACAGUUCUGAGACUGAAGCCACCCUGUGAGGACAGGCAUAAUCCUGCACCAUCCCCAGCAAAUUGGAACACAUGGAACAGAAGGAACACUAGUGGCAUGUGCCCCGGGCACAGCCUCCGAGGGCCUGGGCCCUGUCCUCUGACUGCCUUGGGGAGUCUGCCGUCCUCCAACACUCUGCUCAUUGAAUGCUGGCCAGUCUGUCUAUUAGCGCUGAGCUAACAUCUGCCACCAAUCCUCCUCUUUUUGCUGAGGAAGACUGGCCCUGAGCUAACAUCCAUGCCCAUCUCCCUCUACUUUAUAUGUGGGACACCUGCCACAGCAUGGUUUGACAAGUGGUGUGUAGGUCUGUACCUGGGAUCUGAACUGGUGAACCCCGGGCCGAUGAAGUGGAGCAUGUGAGCUUAACCACUGUGCCACUGGGCCAGAUCCCCCGCCCCUUUUUUUUUAAAGCAGUAAAAUCCCCAUUCAAACCAAUGAUUCUGUGGUAUUUCAAUAAAUAAGACUGAUAGAAGGUGUAUUUGUUAGAAAAAACAUUGAUUUUAUAAUUUUUAUGUAUUAUAAAACUGAUGACUUGGGGAA
ensembl:lncRNA